GACGAACGCUGGCGGCGUGCCUAAUACAUGCAAGUUGAGCGCUGAAGGUUGGUACUUGUACCAACUGGAUGAGCAGCGAACGGGUGAGUAACGCGUGGGGAAUCUGCCUUUGAGCGGGGGACAACAUUUGGAAACGAAUGCUAAUACCGCAUAAAAACUUUAAACACAAGUUUUAAGUUUGAAAGAUGCAAUUGCAUCACUCAAAGAUGAUCCCGCGUUGUAUUAGCUAGUUGGUGAGGUAAAGGCUCACCAAGGCGAUGAUACAUAGCCGACCUGGGAGGGUGAUCGGCCACAUUGGGACUGAGACACGGACCAAACUCCUACGGGAGGCAGCAGUAGGGAAUCUUCGGCAAUGGACGAGAGUCUGACCGAGCAACGCCGCGUGAGUGAAGAAGGUUUUCGGAUCGUAAAACUCUGUUGGUAGAGAAGAACGUUGGUGAGAGUGGAAAGCUCAUCAAGUGACGGUAACUACCCAGAAAGGGACGGCUAACUACGUGCCAGCCGCCGCCGUAAUAC
rnacentral:rRNA from 1 species